GUGGUAACGGCAGAGAAAAAAAUAAAGCAGGAUUCAUUUUAGAUGGGAAGGCUUCGCUGAUCUGAAAGAGAAAAGGAGUAAGCCUGGAAGUUUGGGAAAGCAUGGGAGGAACACAAAUGCAAAGGCCCUGAAGCAGGAGGAUCUCUGCCCUGUUUGAAAAACUUCAAACAACCCGGUGACUGGAUAAAAGAGAGAGCAUUGCCCAUAAUCAUCAAGUUUGGAAUCGAAUGUCCAUUAUUCAGAAGUUGUGAAACUGUAGGCUUCUACCCAAUGGAAUAUUAUGCAACUAUACAAAGAAUGAAGUUGUUUCUACAUAUUGACAUGGAUAUUCACCAGAUACCAUAAUUAUUCUUUAAGGUGCAUCCAAAGUCAUUGUGUGAUCCUGGGCUCUCAUUGACUCCUGCCUUCAGGAGCCUGCAUGUUCUGGAUACAAGAGCUGUGAGGCUUUUCUCUGGUCACACUGGCAUCCUCAAGGUCCCUGCAACAGAGCAGGCAACAGAUCAGACUCUCUCAGAGCCUUUGCUCCAGCUCAGGGGUUCUCAAAGGAUAACCCAGGGAUCUCUGGCUUUUAAAAUUACAUGUGCAAAAAUCUUUGUAAAACUACAAUGAAGCCCGUAAACAAAUGAAAG